rnacentral:lncRNA from 1 species
CUCAGCAGGCAGGAAAUUUACUCCAAAUGGUUUAUAUGAAGAGACAGUAGUGACAAAACCACCCACAUGGUGUGGGAAGGAAGAUAGGCAGGAGACCAGCGACCACACAAGGAGCCAAUGGCCCUGAGGCUGAGGGGACAGGGAGCCAGAGCUCAUGAAGCUGGAGAGUGUCAGAGGGGACCAGGCAGGUGCUUCCAACUGGGAAGGGGGCUCUGUUGGAGAGGAGGUAGCAUGAAAACAAGAGUGUGUGGAAGAGACAGCCCAGCUCCAGCCCUCCUGCCCUUUGGAGGCCUGCCUGGGUCUCCCCUUUACCUAGCCCACCCGCACCGCGAGACGCAGCCCUCUGCCGAGCCCACCCACAGUGAGAGACACAGUCCGCAGUAUGAGCCUCCUUCACCCAGAGCCGUGCAGAGCCGGCCGGUCACUGUCCAGAGCACUGCCCCUACACAACCAGUCGCUGUCCUACUGGAGAAACUUGUUCACCAAAUAGGCAGACAUCCCGGUUGCCAGGCAGUGAUGCUUCGGGGCAGUUUCCCUUCUGUUAUGCCCCUGCCUGCAAACCUGAAUUCCGUCACAGCCCACCAUAAGUUCUCUUCAAACAAGGUUACAGGAAUGAAGAGAAUUAACGGUGGAACGCUAGGAAAUGCACAGAGCUGUCACGCUCCCCCGUUCUGCAGCUGGAUGCGGAGACUGAUGGUCCUUGUCGUGACCUUCCCCCUUCCCUCCGUGUUCCAUGUUCCCCUCGCCCCCUGGGGGCUCUGCCUAACUGAGUAUCCAGUCUCCUGCGGUCCUGUCUGGUGGUCGCCAAGGUUUUCAUGGACCUUCAUUGUUGCACACCUGAGUCUAGGAGACCCAUGUGUAUGAGGCUCACCUUUUCCAGACAUGGUCUUCCCACCCCUUAUGGGACAGCAACCGGUUUUCCCUGGGAAUAGGGGUCAGACCCCCCUCUAGGCUGUCGGCUCAGUCGGCAUGAGGCACCCAGGAUGGCCAGGAGGAACAAUG